AGGUUAUCCUAAGUACAAAUUAAAAGUUAAGAGUUGAAAAGAUCUGACCAAUUGGAUGCAUCUAACAGACAAGAAUGUCAUAUAGAAAACCCACUUUCCCUUUGAACUUUGAAUCAAGCAAUACUCAGGGAGCAAUUAGAAAUAUCCAUACAUUAUGAAGAUCAAGGCAUCAAAUAAAGAUAGCCACAUCCAAGCAAGCAAUCCCCAUAGCUAGCAGCCUUCUUUGUUUCCUCAUGUAUCAGAUGAAAUAUUCCUUGAUCAACUCAGAACA
rnacentral:lncRNA from 1 species